rnacentral:lncRNA from 1 species
CUGAGAAUUUGCAUAUGUAGUUUCCAGGAGAUGAUUAUGUUGCUGCCCUCUGAUGACCCCACUCUGAGAAACCUAUCGGCAUGAAGCAUUCAGCACACUAUCAAAUCCAUCACAUGCUUAUUGGUUCCUUCCUUCAAUCAGACAUGGUAUAUUUAAAGUUCUUUGCAGUUCCUCAAGAGGUGUGGAAAAAUAUUUUAUAUCUCUGUAGAAAAGCACCUCAGUUCCAAUUAAAUCCCGAAUUCAUGUCCACCUGGAAUCCAUUUGGAUUGUGACCUUAUUUGAAAAUUGGGUCUUUGCAGAUAUAAUCCGUUAUGAUGAGGUUAUACUAGAUUAAGGUGGACCUUAAACUCAAGCACUGCUGUCCUUAAAAAAGACACAGAUAUAUAGACACACUGAAGGGUGAAAGUGACAUGAAGACAGAGGCAGAAAUUGGAGCGAUGCAUUUACAAAUCAAGGAACACCAAAGACUGUGGCAACCUCCAGAAGCCAAGGAGAAUCAUUCCAGUAUACAUGUGGAGAGCCAGCAGAAGAGAGGCAAAAGCAAUCAGUAAAAGAAAAACAAAAAAGGUAAAGGCAAAUUUGUAAUUAAUUGCAGCGUCCCCAGAGAAACAAUA